rnacentral:rRNA from 1 species
AGUUUGAUCCUGGCUCAGAUUGAACGCUGGCGGCAUGCCUUACACAUGCAAGUCGAACGGUAACAGGUCUUCGGACGCUGACGAGUGGCGAACGGGUGAGUAAUACAUCGGAACGUGCCCAGUCGUGGGGGAUAACUACUCGAAAGAGUAGCUAAUACCGCAUACGAUCUGAGGAUGAAAGCGGGGGACCUUCGGGCCUCGCGCGAUUGGAGCGGCCGAUGGCAGAUUAGGUAGUUGGUGGGAUAAAAGCUUACCAAGCCGACGAUCUGUAGCUGGUCUGAGAGGACGACCAGCCACACUGGGACUGAGACACGGCCCAGACUCCUACGGGAGGCAGCAGUGGGGAAUUUUGGACAAUGGGCGAAAGCCUGAUCCAGCAAUGCCGCGUGCAGGAUGAAGGCCUUCGGGUUGUAAACUGCUUUUGUACGGAACGAAAAAGCUUCUCCUAAUACGAGAGGCCCAUGACGGUACCGUAAGAAUAAGCACCGGCUAACUACGUGCCAGCAGCCGCGGUAAU